rnacentral:rRNA from 1 species
AGUGAACGCUGGCGGUAGGCCUAACACAUGCAAGUCGAACGGCAGCACAGUAAGAGCUUGCUCUUACGGGUGGCGAGUGGCGGACGGGUGAGGAAUACAUCGGAAUCUACUUUUUCGUGGGGGAUAACGUAGGGAAACUUACGCUAAUACCGCAUACGACCUACGGGUGAAAGCAGGGGAUCUUCGGACCUUGCGCGAUUGAAUGAGCCGAUGUCGGAUUAGCUAGUUGGCGGGGUAAGGGCCCACCAAGGCGACGAUCCGUAGCUGGUCUGAAAGGAUGAUCAGCCACACUGGAACUGAGACACGGUCCAGACUCCUACGGGAGGCAGCAGUGGGGAAUAUUGGACAAUGGGCGCAAGCCUGAGCCAGCCAUACCGCGUGGGUGAAGAAGGCCUUCGGGUUGUAAAGCCCUUUUGUUGGGAAAGAAAAGCAGCAGGUUAAUACCCCGCUGUUCGGACGGUACCCAAAGAAUAAACACCGGCGAACUUCGU